GACGAACGUUGGCGGCGUGCUUAAUACAUGCAAGUCAACUGAAGCAGUGGUAGCAAUAUCGCUGUGGAGGUGGCGCACGGGUGAGUAACACGUAGGUAAUCUGCCUUCAGGUCUGGCAUAACUCCGGGAAACCGGGGCUAAUAGCAGAUGAUGCAGCGGCUCGACAUCGAGACAGUUGUUAAAGCUAUGGCGCCUGAAGAUGAGCCUGUGUCUGAUUAGCUAGUUGGCGGGGUAACGGCCCACCAAGGCAACGAUCAGUAGCUGGUCUGAGAGGAUGAUCAGCCACACUGGAACUGAGACACGGUCCAGACUCCUACGGGAGGCAGCAGUAAGGAAUAUUGCUCAAUGGGAGAAAUCCUGAAGCAGCAACGCCGCGUGAGGGACGAAGGGCUUUGGCUUGUAAACCUCUGUAGUGAGAGAAAAAAAUCCCAAUCUUUGGGACAUGAUGGUAUCUCAAAAGUAAGCCCCGGCUAACUACGUG
rnacentral:rRNA from 1 species